CGACCGGCGCACGGGUGAGUAACACGUAUGCAACCUGGCCGUGACAGAUGGAUAACCGGGAGAAAUCCCGCCUAAUACAGCAUGACGCCGGGAAGGGACAUCCCUUUCCGGCCAAAGGGGGCGACUCCGGUCACGGAUGGGCAUGCGGCGCAUUAGGUAGUUGGUGGGGCAACGGCCCACCAAGCCGAUGAUGCGUAGGGGUUCUGAGAGGAAGGUCCCCCACAUUGGAACUGAGACACGGUCCAAACUCCUACGGAAGGCAGCAG
rnacentral:rRNA from 1 species